AGUCACAGCCCGGACGUCCGGCCAGUGCCUAGGAACGUGAAGCCUUCCAAGCUCAAGGAGAACGCCUUGCCUUGUGAGUUUCACAGACAUGUCUGCUCAUGGCUUCUCUGGCAUUCACCAGUUGCAUUUGGACCCUAUGGUGAUGGGCACUUGGGAGAGCUGCAAGUGUGCCAUUCAUGCCCUACUGGUUAUCCUCUGUCUCUGUCCAUUUGGGCCACUGUAACAAACUGAGAGCACCACAAACUGGAUGGCUUAUAAACAGCAGAGAUUUAUCUCCCAGUCCGAGAGGCUGGGAAGUUCAAGAUCAAGGUGUCAGCAUGGUUGCGUUCUGGUGAAAGCCCUCUUCUGGGUUGCAGACUUCAGGCUUCUCACGGUGUCCUCACCGGCUGGGGAGGGACA